GCCGCCCGCCCCGCGCACUCGGGCGGCGGCCGGCAGCGGGCGAGGACACCGGGCGAGCCCUCCCUGCCGGGAGAGCCAGCCCUGCGGCACACGGCAGCGCCAUGGUCUCAUGGAUCAUCUCCAGGCUAGUGGUGCUUAUAUUUGGCACACUUUACCCCGCAUAUUAUUCUUACAAAGCCGUGAAAUCAAAGGACAUCAAAGAAUAUGUCAAGUGGAUGAUGUACUGGAUCAUAUUCGCGCUCUUCACGACAGCAGAGACAUUCACGGAUAUCUUUCUUUGCUGGUUUCCAUUCUACUAUGAACUCAAAAUAGCUUUUGUAGCUUGGCUGCUGUCUCCAUACACAAAAGGCUCCAGCCUUCUGUACAGGAAAUUUGUCCAUCCAACGCUGUCUUCAAAAGAAAAGGAGAUCGAUGACUGCCUCAUCCAGGCGAAAGACCGGAGCUACGAUGCCCUCGUGCACUUUGGGAAGCGGGGGCUGAACGUUGCAGCCACAGCAGCCGUCAUGGCAGCUUCAAAGGUAAAGGUGCAGGUCUCUCAGCUACUUCAUUUACACUUGUAUUUGGACCAGAAAAAAGGGCAGGGACAGGGAGCCCUGUCUGAGAGACUACGGAGCUUUAGCAUGCAGGAUCUCUCGACGAUUCGUGGAGACAGCAGCAGCACUGUUCCUCCUUCGGUCACUGUACGAACAAGUAGCAAACAGAGCCACCCAAAACCAUCCAGAAGUGCAUCAGAAGGCACUGGCAGCUCAGUGUGCACGUGUUGCUCAGUAUGCCGACUCCUCAGAGUCACCAACCUGGAGGCAGCAGCAGAAGGACUGAAGGAUCACAGUGCUGCCACCGUGCUGCAGCCACCUGUGCCUUCCCACAGCCCUGCCCCUGGUGCCAGAGCCCUGUGCAGUGUUGGUGCUUGGAGGCUGAUGGUUCCAGCCUGACACAGCCUCCUUGCACCCUGCAUGGGUGGCAAACCCACCCAUAUUUGAUUUGUUACGCUUCCUUUUCUGGUUGGAUGUGCCAUUGUGCAGGGCAAUGAAACAUGUUUAAGGUGGUAUCUGUUGAAACAACCAUGAAACGCUUGUAUUCACGAGGCAUUUUAUUAGAAUCCUUCUAAUUUUAGCCUAAACCUAUUUUAUGGAUCUCACUUCAAAGUGUUAUUUAUAAAAAGAAUCACUGAAUCCUUAUAGGCUUAACAGUCAUGAGGUAAUCUUAGGAAAGUCAUUUAAUGAUGCUAAGGCAGCAAACAGUUCAAUAUGUUUAUGAAUUGGACCCAAUGUAAUUUUGAUCUUGUUGAAUUUGUGUACCCUGCCAUUCACAUUGGCUUGUUUUACUGUUCCUGCCCCCCUCUCCAAUAUAAUCCAGUCCCUUAGACCAUGUCAAUAGGGAUGUGCCAAGGCUCUAUGUCAUAGAGGGUUCAUUCUGUCUCCACAGUCUGCCCUUUCUCUGUCUCCAAGGCAAUAGAUGCAUUAAUGCACCCUCAGACAGUGGCCUGCCAUUAAAAUGCUCCUUUGUAAGUGCAUCUUUGGUAGCCUGGAGAGCUGACUACGUCAUGUGAACAUUUUUCAGUGCCACAAAAAGCUGGGGGAAGAAAGAAUUUAAUUUUGUUUAGCUAGGAAUAAGUUGCCUUGAGCUAUUGGCACUCAUCUUUUCUUGGUGCAAACUUCUGUGUAGUCAGUUUUAGAGUCCCAUCAUUAACAGUUCUCAUUUCCAAAGAGUUUAUAAUCUAAAUGGGCAGAUAGUCAAGUCUUUUCCUCAAGCAGGGAUAUUACUAUUCACUGCUAUAGAGCCUUGGUGCAGUCUUUUUGGCAUGAACAGUUGCCUUAAUGCUCUUGCAGGUAAAACUCAAUUAUCUCACUGUCUGACUCACAGAAACCUCCACAACUCUUAGGAGAGCACGGCUGGUGGAGCAAAAGUGCAAGCAUUCUGCUCCCUAGAUGAUAUCUGGAGAGAAGGUGUCCUGAGGAUGAGGCCUGCAGGUGCCAUGGGGUGUGCAUUUCUGCAGAGCCCAAAGGCCAGGCUGAGCACAGCCUGAGCCCCCUGAGCUGGACUGUCCCUGGCAGCAGUGGUUCUGGGCUGGCUGCUGCUGGGUUCCUCUCCUCUGGAGCAGGACUAUCCCUGGCAGCAGUGGUGGGUUUCUCUGUGCUGAAGCUGUUGGCUCCACAGGAGAGCCCUUUCCUGCCCAGCUGGAUCACUCCCACUGGCCUCAUGGUCUGCACAUGACAAAGCAUUGAUGCAAUUCAGGACAUUCAUCCUCUGCUCUGGGCAGCUUCACUAAAAUACAAUCCUGUUUGACAGAUGUACUCCAGCACAUCUUUUUGAGAGCUCCUAUGCCAGCUCCUCUUGCUUUUGUUUGGGGCCAGGCCUUUGCUGGUGAAAGCUCCUUCCAGGUGCUCACCAGAGUUUCUGAUUUAUCUCCUUUGUGUUCUGUGGAAAGUCAGGCUGCAGCAUUCAGGAACAAUGGGACAAUUAUGUAAGAGCUCUUUUUCCCUUUCAGAGAGGACAGAGUGAAAAUCUCCAGGGAUAUCUGUUUGUCUUUUGGCAGUGCUUGGCAAAUGCUUAAACGCUGUUUGAUAUUAAACAAUCUUGCUUGGGACCGGCAUUUAAGAAGUAACAAAAUUAUGUUUGGUGGUGUUCUCUCAACUAAUGUCUCUUAGGUGCUGUUGCAAAGACCUGGGGCAUGGUUGAGAGGGAGAAACCAUUUUAAUCCUUGCAGAGAAUAAAUUUAUCUAUCAUGAAUUGAAGAAUCAGCUAUGUAUGAGGAGAAUUUUUGGGACGGCAAGUACUUGAGGGGGCAUUUAAUACUAAAAUGCUGAUCAGAAGCCUUAGGCAGUGUAAGGAAUGUGCAGGGACAUUAGUGAUGAAUGGGUCUGUGUUGGGUGUGCACUGCAGGGUUGUGCUCCACAAGGUGACAGAUCACACACAUCCAGAAGUGCAGCUGACCAAGGAUCUCCAUGGGACAUCCACUUAAUUGUGCUUUAAACAAAUCACAUUAUUGCUCUAUUGGAUGAAUCCAACCCCUUCUUUGUGGUAUGCUAAGAAGCACACAUGAGUUAUUACAGUGGAAAGUGCUUUAAAAACAGUAAUUGACUUUGUGUCAAGGGGCCUGAUUGUACAUCUCUGAACGAAUUCAAUUAAAUGGUGUAGGUGGUUUUAUUUUGGUUCUUAGCCAGUUUUGCUUCCAGCUCCCAUUUGGGGGAUAUUUUUUGACCUUGUUGAACUUAAAGAACAAACAACAGUUUUCUGUUGCUCUAGGCAUUUUCUUCCUUAAAAUUUCCCUUUUCUAAAUACUGAAGCAAAUUUUUACAGGGCUGGUUUGCACCACUUUGCACUGGUGUUUCUGAAUAGAAAUUUGUGAUUUUAUUUUUGAGAUUUAAAAAUAGUUUCUUAUUUAUUUUGGUUAUUUCAGGGAAGAAAUUUCACAGGAAAUCAAUAGUUUUAAAGUACACUUGCUUUUUACCAGCAGAAAGUUAAAACAUUAAUUGUUCUUUAAUAAACUCCAUCUGAACGACAGAUAUGAUAAAAGCAAAGAUGAAUAUUUCUGUGUUCUGAAACAAUGUUCCUUCCCCCUCUGCACCCAAAUGUUUUCUCCUAACAGUUUAUUCUUUCUUUUUCUCUAUGUAAAUAUUAUGGGACUCUGAUGGGAAAGAAGCUGAUGGCCAUCGUAUAAUAAAUAUCUGUUCUCCUGUGCUUAUUAAGUGGUGUGCAAACCUCUUUAUAUGAAUGAUCCCCUGGAAAGGCUUAACUUUGGAGAGACUUCACCUUCCAUUACAAUAAUACAAUACCUCA